AAAACGUCUGUCACUCAGUCAGAGUCUGCAGCAUAGCACUUUAUAGGACAGCAUAGGAACUUCUUCCAAAAGAUAGGCCAAAACAAGCGAGCAGGUUGAGGCAGCAGUGAAUGAGGUGGAGAGGACAGAACAGCCAGAGAGUCAAAGUGCAGCAGAGUUAGCCACAGAUGAGCCAAGGAGGAUGACAGAUGAGAACAACAGGCCAGUGGAGCACUUAGAACAGCAGCAGUCAGGGGCAGCUGGUAGGGAAGAGGAUGCUUUAGGUGACCCAGACAUAGGCCCAAAACAAGUUCAGCUACUCCAGUAUCCCCUUGACCGUUUUGGAUUGAAAAACUAAACCAGACAAGACACAGAGGCAGCAACAGAAGAGUAAAUGAUGGAGAGAGACACGAGACAAGACACAGAGAGAUAGCAACAGAAGAGUAGGAUAUGAUGGAGCGAGACACCAGAAGAACGGAACAGGCCAUAACAGAAGAAGGAAGACAAUGAAGACAUUAACAAACAAGAACCUGAGACAGCAACUGACAAGACACAGAUAAAGUGACAAGAGGGCAGAUGGAGAGAGAACAGAGGUCAGCAUGGAUCAAGGGUCUGGUGCACGUUUUCACACACCCUCAUCUUUCACAGAACAAAUAACUGCAACAGAGAGGAGAGAGAUGCUGCUCAAUCUUGGUGGCACCAUACGUGGGGCGCAGGGGGUUGAUGAUGUGGUUGUUCCAGCGGAACUUCAUCCCAGUCACCUCGCCAAUGUCCGUCUCAGCAUCGAUGAAGAGCUUGUACUGUAGGUUUUACCAGGUCUCAGGAGACCACUUUAGAAAAGAGGAGAACAUUUUCAAUCCUUUAGUCAGUUUAGAUUGGGGCAGGGUCAGUCUGUUGUCCUAUGAAUAGAUCUUUUUGUUAUUCAAGUUCAACAGUCUUCAGAAAUCCAAAUGAGUUUAUGGGCUAUGAUGUUGACACUUACAAUUAGAAGAAUGAAAUAUAAAUGAAACAAUUUAAAACGUGUGUGACAUAACAUCUCAACUCAUCUGUAAGCUAGUUUAUAUCAGGAGUGGUCACAUACAGUACAUGUAUACCUGAUACUGGCGGGUGUUGCCAUGCUCUUCAUACAGAGCUAUAUGUUCAUUAUCCCUGGCUGGGAUCUUCUGCCAUCGAUGGUUACAUUUGCUUUGCAGCGGUACCCAGGAAUUUGAAUACAGUGCCUUCGGAAAGUAUUCAGACCCGUUGACUUUUUCCACAUUUUGUUACAUUACAGCCUUAUUCUAAAAUGGAUUAAAUAAUUAUUUACAGACAAAGGGCUCAGCAUCUCCAGUGUUCAGGUAGAACUUCAUAUUGGAUUGGCCACUGGGGAUGGGGAAUGUGUCAACAUAGCGACCAUCAUGCGGUCAAGGUGUAUACAUUGAUGUUAGAGAGUGGAUUUGACAGGGCAGAGGGACCCGAAUAUAGAAUAUGACCAUAUAUACUGUAUGGUAAGGUAUAUAAAUAUUAUUUGUAGAUGUUUGUACUUGAGGACAUAGAAUUUAGGCAUUUCAGUUUGAAAAUAAAGAUUAAAGCUUAGUAUUUAUAAACAAUUGCCAUUUCUGGCCAUUCAAGAGGAUUCAAAAGAAUAUAAAAGCAUUGGUCAGCUCAUUUUGCACAUUUCAUAAACCAUUAUAAGUCACUGAGCUGCUGUUAAUAUUCUGAUCAAGGUGACAUGUGAAAAGGGAUCGUUUAUUUUACGACCCAGUGCUUUCAACAUCUUUACGCCUACACUCCGAGGCCUCUGUGAGUAAUCAUCUUUUCUUAUUGCAGUUUCUCACCAUCCGUGUCAAGCACAGGUGGCCAGUGGCACCUUAAUUGGGGAGGACGGGCUCAUAGUAAUGGCUGCAACUGAAUAAAUGGAAUGGUAUC